rnacentral:rRNA from 1 species
AACGAACGCUGGCGGCAGGCUUAACACAUGCAAGUCGAACGCCCCGCAAGGGGCGUGGCAGACGGGUGAGUAACGCGUGGGAAUCUACCCAGUUCUACGGAACAACAGUUGGAAACGACUGCUAAUACCGUAUACGCCCUAAGGGGGAAAGAUUUAUCGGAAUUGGAUGAGCCCGCGUUGGAUUAGCUAGUUGGUGGGGUAAUGGACUACCAAGGCGACGAUCCAUAGCUGGUCUGAGAGGAUGAUCAGCCACACUGGGACUGAGACACGGCCCAGACUCCUACGGGAGGCAGCAGUGGGGAAUAUUGGACAAUGGGCGCAAGCCUGAUCCAGCCAUGCCGCGUGAGUGAUGAAGGCCUUAGGGUUGUAAAGCUCUUUCAGUAGGGAAGAUAAUGACGGUACCUACAGAAGAAGCCCCGGCUAACUUCGUGCCAGCAGCCGCGGUAACAC